AGCAGCCGCGGUAAUUCCAGCUCCAAUAGCGUAUAUUAAAGUUGUUGCAGUUAAAAAGCUCGUAGUUGAAUUUCGGGAUCAAAGGAUCGGUCAUGCCUUGGUAUGUACUGGUUUUAUUGGUUCUCACCUUCUAAAGAACCAUAAUGUCAUUCAUUUGAUGUUAUGGGGAAUUAGGACUGUUACCUUGAAAAAAUUAGAGUGUUUAAAGCAGGCUUACGCUUGAAUACAUUAGCAUGGAAUAAUGAAAUAGGACAUCAGAUUCUAUUUUGUUGGUUUCUAGGAUCGAUGUAAUGAUUAAUAGGGAUAGUUGGGGGCAUUAGUAUUCAAUUGUCAGAGGUGAAAUUCUUGGAUUUAUUGAAGACUAACUACUGCGAAAGCAUUUGCCAAGGAUGUUUUCAUUAAUCAAGAACGAAAGUUAGGGGAUCGAAGACGAUCAGAUACCGUCGUAGUCUUAACCAUAAACUAUGCCGACUAGGGAUCGGAUGAUGUUAAUUUUUUAAUGACUCA
rnacentral:rRNA from 1 species